CCUUCUUUGAGGCAAUGCUUAAAAGGGCUUGUGGAACAAAGGACUUCAAGUGGGAAGGGCAAAGCCUGGCCCUCCAGAUGUUUUUGAAUGCCAGGUCCCAGCAGCUGUAGCCAAUAGUAAAGGAUGAUGGGAGAGCUAAACACACGUAUUUUCCUCAGGCUAUCCUCAUAAGGUUUAGUUUCCAGAUGAGAUGGCCUUUGGACUUAAUCCAGAUCGCUCCCUUGUGAAAACUAGUAGCAGAACAACUACAGCAUGUUUCCUAUCUGUGGAGACAACUCAACAAAAGAGACAAGAAGCCUACACCAUUGCCAGUUUGCUUGUUAUCCAGUAUUCCUUAAAAGACAGGAAAGCUAGAACAUCAUCUUAGAGCAGGAGUUAAACCAUUUUGAUCAAAUUUGUUCUCAGAUUCAGACAGCAAGUUUGCCAUGGGUGGCAAGCAGUUUCUGAAUCUCUACGAUGGGCCAGACAAGAUGACAAAUUGCAAACCUAGGUUAAGGAGCCAGGCACAUGGGGAGGGGGGCAGUGGAUCGUGAAAGUGAAAUGUUUGUGUCUUAGUCAUUCAGGAACCACAUUCUUUUUCCGACAGCUGUCACCCAUGCCUGCACCUUGCUACAACAGCUAGUUGGCGCAGGGGGAGGGGGAGGUAUGUUUUAAACGAUGCAUACAGGAAAAGACAUCACGCUGGACCUCUGUGGGGGAAGGGAGCAGAAGAGACAGUCAUGUCUAGCUUGAAUUCAGGAGUUAGGAGAUGGGGUGUGGAAAGAGUUCUCACUAAUGGAAAAAUGGACCAUCCAUAAAGUUUGCAAACCAAUAACAUUAAUAAUAAUGAUAAUUCAAAAAAAAAUGCCAGCUUUGUUACGGCUUCCAGUAAAACUCAGCUCAUAAAAACAGGCAUGUCAUGAGUUCAGUCAGGUGAGAUCAGAUCCUGAAGUAAUGCAAAUCACUGAUGUGGAAGUGCUGUGAACUAAACCAGAAGCUGCAGUUUCAUAUCUACUGCCAAGUUUUCACUUCCUGAAAACUAUGAGGCCUGUGACUGCAAACUCUGACUUCCAUUCAUGGCAAAGGAAGUGUGAGUUCAUCCACUUUUUCUCUUCCAACAUCUCACUGCUCACCUGAGCUACCUGAGCAUUCAGCCCCAGUUCCUGCAGAGUUUUUUAAAAAAAUCCUUUUUGUAACCUUUUAGAUUGGGGGUGUAACUGAAUCCCAAACUAUUACCCUUUGGGGCCAAAUAUGACUAUCCUUAAUCUUUGCCGGUGAGACUUCUUCUCUCCCACUUCUCUUUAAAAAAUGGGCAGUCAUGGUAGGAUGUGAUGCAGUUAUGAAUCAUGAUCAAUCAACAACAAAUUCUUUAGCUAUUUGAUACAGUACAAUUUGCAAAAGCAGAUUUGGAUGUGGAACAUAUCCAGUCAAAGCUGAAUCUCCAAGGUGUCCCCCACCCCCCCAAAUCAUCCACAGAAACUGUGGCAAGCAAUUUUUGAAGGAUCCAGAACUGCGUGUCUGCUCACGCAUGAGCCAAACUACAAAACUGGUUUGUGUUGGGUCAAAGCAUGGCAGGCAGAAAGCAAAGGGAACUGAACUCUAAACGCAGCCCUUCUAAACCCCAGAAGGGCACAGUCCAGUGUUCCUGCCUCUCAGCAUGUCAAAGUCCCACGUAGCACGCUUUCAGUCUCCCAGACCGCUGUAUUGAUGGGCAGCAAUGCAAGCGGUUGAGGCUGUGGCCUGACUUCACCUCUGCAGGCCCAGAGAUAAGCCUCCCUCUUUUUGCUUCCCUUUUCCUUUGCAACCGACAUGUACCUGACACAGCAG